GUUCAGAAAUGAUGAAUUGAUCAGAUAUACUAGAGCUGGGGAUGUCUCGGGGGGUUUACCCCUCGGGCUUUUCCUCGGCCUGUGAGUAUAGAGGCGAUUCUGAUCUG
rnacentral:snoRNA from 1 species